UACGUAGGGUGCAAGCGUUGUCCGGAAUUAUUGGGCGUAAAGAGCUCGUAGGCGGUCUGUCGCGUCGGAUGUGAAACCCCGAGGCUUAACCUCGGGCCUGCAUUCGAUACGGGCAGACUAGAGUUCGGUAGGGGAGACUGGAAUUCCUGGUGUAGCGGUGAAAUGCGCAGAUAUCAGGAGGAACACCGGUGGCGAAGGCGGGUCUCUGGGCCGAUACUGACGCUGAGGAGCGAAAGCGUGGGGAGCGAACAGG
rnacentral:rRNA from 1 species